AGAGCGAACGCUGGCGGCAGGCCUAACACAUGCAAGUCGAGCGCCCGUAGCAAUACGGGAGCGGCAGACGGGAUAGUAACACGUGGGAACGCGCCCUUCGGUUCGGAAUAACUCAGGGAAACUUGAGCUAAUACCGGAUACGCCCUUACGGGGAAAGAUUUAUUGCCGAAGGAACGGCCCGCGUCCGAUUAGCUAGUUGGUGAGGUAAUGGCUCACCAAGGCGACGAUCGGUAGCUGGUCUGAGAGGAUGACCAGCAUCACUGGGACUGAGACACGGCCCAGACUCCUACGGGAGGCAGCAGUGGGGAAUAUGGACAAUGGGCGCAAGCCUGAUCCAGCCAUGCCGCGUGGAUGAUGAAGGCCUUAGGGUUGUAAAAGUCCUUUUAACGGGAAGAUAAUGACGGUACCCGUAGAAUAAGCCCAGGCUAACUUCGUGCCAGCAGCCGC
rnacentral:rRNA from 1 species